CCGGUCUAGACAGUUCAAGUAUGCAACAUGUCAAUGAAUGUAGAAAUUAAUAAUUGUCAAACAAUUACAAGAGAUUCGCCUCUUAUUGGUGAAUAUCGAUGCGUGUUUAAAUGUGUGUGCUUAUAGUAAACCGCUAACCCAUUUUGAUAAGCUGAUGGCUAAGCUGGGGGCGCUGAACAAAUUGAAAAAGAAAAAAUGAGAAAAAAAAUUAUGUGUGUUUGUAAUACCAAAAUCGAACUGUUAUAUCAAAGCCAUGCUACCAUGUAGUGCACAACGCAAUUAUCCGAUUGUACUAUGAAGAUAAGCAAAAUAAACGAAUUUCACAGAUUGCUUAUGCAAUUUAUUUGUUGCGCAUACGCCCUGGAGUCAGGUGAACCAGUGUUUAUAAGGGUAUUUAUGUAUGUGCAUAUAUACAAAUAAGUGAAAUGUGAAUCUAAUGCGCAAUAACUGGAAGCAUAAAAAUAAAUUAAUGUAGUUGAAAAUUA